UACAGAGGUGGCAAGCGUUGUUCGGAAUUACUGGGCGUAAAGGGCGCGUAGGCGGUCUCGUAAGUCCUGUGUGAAAUCCCCCGGCUCAACUGGGGAACUGCACAGGAAACUGCGAGACUUGAGUUCGGGAGAGGGAAGCGGAAUUCCGGGUGUAGCGGUGAAAUGCGUAGAUAUCCGGAGGAACACCGGUGGCGAAGGCGGCAUCCUGGACCGGUAUUGACGCUGAGGCGCGAAAGCCAGGGGAGCAAACGGG
rnacentral:rRNA from 1 species